rnacentral:lncRNA from 1 species
GGAUGCGCAGGCCCAUCUCCAUGGCAGCUUCAGCAGGGAGAGAAGAAGCUCCUGGGGCAGAGUCAUCUAUUCCCACCAAGAGCUCAGGGUGGUUGCAAGGGCAAAUUCCUCUGGAGGGAAGGAAGGAACAUGAGGAAGAGCCCCAGUCCAUACGGAAUGUGGAGGAUGGUCCCAAUCCCCCAGGAAGCGGAACUGGAGCUCAGCCAGCUCUACUUAAUGAAUUAAGUCUGAAGAAGGUAAGUACAGACACAUCAGCUGCAAAUCCAGAUCCUCUUCCUGCUCAUAUCAGCUUUUCCGAGAACAAAUUUGCAUCUGCUUGAUUCUGCUGCCAUCUACUGGGAAAAACAAAAACAAAAAUUAAACUACAGAGGGAGGAAAUAAACAUCCUCUCUAAUCUCAGUAUGCUUUGACCUACUCUGAAAUGUGGAAUUAAAC